CCUACGGGUGGCAGCAGUGGGGAAUAUUGGGCAAUGGGCGAAAGCCUGACCCAGCGACGCCGCGUGAAGGAAGAAGGCUUUCGGGUUGUAAACUUCUUUUGACAGGGAAGAGCAUGAGGCUGUCCCUGUCGAAUAAGCCACGGCUAACUACGUGCCAGCAGCCGCUGUAAUAGGUGGGUCGCAAGCGUUGUCCGGCUUUACUGGGUGUAAAGGUCGUGUAGCCGGGCUGAAAAGUCAGAUGUGAAAUCCGGGGGCUCAAACCCCGAACGGCAUUUGAAACGGUAGGUUUGGAGUAUCGGAGAGGCAGGCGGAAGUCCGAGGGUAGCGGUGAAAUGCGUAGAUAUUAGGAGGAACACCAGUGGCGAAGGCGGCCUGCUGGACGACAACGGACGGUGAGGCGCGAAAGGGUGGGGAGCAAACAGGAUUAGAUACCCUGGAGUC
rnacentral:rRNA from 1 species